UGCAUGAACAUGUGGAAGGUGAGGAAGCAUGAUUGGAUUUUGGAAUGAACAUGUUUAGAAAAAGAGUGAAUGAGGACCGGACUUUCAUGGCCAGAACCAGAACCAGGUCCAGACCAUGAAUGGUAAUGGUGAGGGCAGAGUUUGACAGAAGUGUUGAGGGUAAAGGUUGAUGUUGAGAGAGUAGGUGUUAUGUUGUAAAGUCUUACCAAUCCUAGUCGGGCCUCCUCAAAAGCUUUCUUCUCCUGCUGCAGGCGGCGCUUGGCUUCCUCCUCGCCUUUCUUCUUCCUCUGCUCCUGCCUUUCCCGCUCCAGCUCCUCAAAGGUCAUCUUCAGCUUCCCGGGCGUGGCCUGGGUCCUCUCUGCCGGCUUGUCCUGGUCCUCCUGCCAAGGUAGAAGCCCAGCUCCUCCUCUCGACUCUUCUCCAUGUCUUCAAAGUUCACUUUGAUUUUGCCCGGAGCUCGUGACGACUUGGUAGGAACCACCCUGACCAGGAAGGUGUCGUCUCCUUCCUCAAACUUGCCCUUCACACUGCCUGAGGACGCACAAAGCACAUCUUCUUCUUCUUCUGCUGCUGCUCUCCUGGCACGCUGCAUGGCCAGGUGUCUCACCUGUGAUCUUGGGCACGUAGGACUUCUCCACCUUGGCCUUGGUCUUCACCUCUUCCUCCUCAUCGCUGGAAG